UCUUUUAGAAUAAAUUUAAAGUCGAUUCUGCUCACUGAAUUUAUUUAAAGAGCCGCGGUAUUUUGACCGUGCUAAGGUAGCAUAAUAAAUAGUCUUUUAAUUGAAGACUAGAAUGAAAGAUUUGACGAAAAAUCAACUUUCUUUAAUUUAAAACUUGAAUUUAAUUUUUAAGUUAAAAAGCUUAAAUUUAAUUAGGGGACGAGAAGACCCUAUAGAUUUUUAUUUAUAUAAUUUUAUUUAAAUUUAAGUAUAAUAAAUGAAUUUUUUUUGUAAAUUUAACUGGGGCAGUUUUAAAAUAUAAAUAAUUUUUAAAUUUAAAAUUAUAAAUAAAUAAUUUUUAGAUCCAUAAAUUUUGAUUACAAGAUUAAAUUACCUUAGGGAUAACAGCAUAAUUUUAUUGGAUAGUUCAUAUUGAAAAUAAAGUUUGUGACCUCGAUGUUGAAUUAAAAAUAUAAUUAGAAGUAGAAGUCUAAUAAAUUAGUCUGUUCGACUAUUAAAAUUU
rnacentral:rRNA from 1 species